AGUGAACGCUGGCGGUAGGCCUAACACAUGCAAGUCGAACGGCAGCACAGUAAGAGCUUGCUCUUACGGGUGGCGAGUGGCGGACGGGUGAGGAAUACAUCGGAAUCUACUUUUUCGUGGGGGAUAACGUAGGGAAACUUACGCUAAUACCGCAUACGACCUACGGGUGAAAGCAGGGGAUCUUCGGACCUUGCGCGAUUGAAUGAGCCGAUGUCGGAUUAGCUAGUUGGCGGGGUAAAGGCCCACCAAGGCGACGAUCCGUAGCUGGUCUGAGAGGAUGAUCAGCCACACUGGAACUGAGACACGGUCCAGACUCCUACGGGAGGCAGCAGUGAGGAAUAUUGGACAAUGGGCGCAAGCCUGAUCCAGCCAUACCGCGUGGGUGAAGAAGGCCUUCGGGUUUUAAAGCCCUUUUGUUGGGAAAGAAAAGCAGCAGGUUAAUACCCCGCUGUUCUGACGGUACCCAAAGAAUAAGCACCGGCUAACUUCGUG
rnacentral:rRNA from 1 species